CUGGCAAGUGGCUGAGACAGUACUUGAUUUGAGGUGUGACCAAGGAGCCAGCCUGGAUACAGGGUGAGCCCAUCAGCAAACAUGAAACUCCUUCCCCCACGAAGAAGGAAGACGUUUGGACGUUGGUCCCCUUCUUGAGAGAGUGAGGACUUCCUUUCCAAGAAGACCUGGGCCUACCCUCGGAUACUCUCCCGUAAGGCAGGAAGAGCAUGGGUUUUGCAUCCAGCUGGCCUGGUUUUUCAUCUGCAAAAGAGGUAAUAUCUAUCUCAUGGGACUCAAGAAGACGACGUGUGCAAAGCAUUUGGUGCACAACAGUUGAUCCCAAAAUAGAAGAUGCUGCUAAGCCUAUUCUACCUCCACCUGCACAGACAAGCUCCUGCUUUGAGGUCACCUCUCCUUUCAUCGUGUUCCUCAGGACCCUUUUGGACAGGCAGGAGAAGGACUACUAUGCCCAGUGUGCAGGUCCAGGAAGCUGAGGCUCCAAGGGGGUCAGUGACUUGCCCAAGAAGCCAUCAGCAAGGCCCUGACCUCAGGCCAAACCUCCUGGCUCUCAGGCCAGUACUCGUGCUGCUAUGGUGCUCCUGGUACUGCAGGCUGACAAAAACACAGACGAAAUUAAACAAGUCAGCAAUUUCCCAGCCCUUCUCCUCACCUGCCCUGGG